GACGUAGGGCGCGAGCGUUGUCCGGAUUUAUUGGGCGUAAAGAGCUCGUAGGCGGCUUGUUGCGUCGACUGUGAAAACCCGCGGCUUAACUGCGGGCUUGCAGUUGAUACGGGCAGGCUAGAGUUCGGUAGGGGAGACUGGAAUUCCUGGUGUAGCGGUGAAAUGCGCAGAUAUCAGGAGGAACACCGGUGGCGAAGGCGGGUCUCUGGGCAGUAACUGAUGCUGAGGAGCGAAAGCGUGGGGAGCGAACAGG
rnacentral:rRNA from 1 species